rnacentral:lncRNA from 1 species
UUUGUGUGACCCAGUUAGGUUUAAUUCUAUAUGGUAAUGAGAAAUGUCGUGAUCUCAUCAUCGACAUCAUCGAAACUCCUUUCGAUGGAUCAGAACUCUUCUGAUUCAGAUAAUUAGAAUGAUCGAUCAUCAAAAUUAUUCUAAUUGCUUUCAAAAUCCAUCAGUGAUACCUAGCAGUAUAUGGUGGCAACCCAUCAGAACUGAAGAUGAACCUCUCGGUGCAGCUACCUGUGUGAUUGAGUUCCUCUAUCAUGAGUCCCGACUGAAUU